CUUAUUGCAAACGUGUCGCGCCCAUUUCAAACCAUUUUCCAUCAUCUAGGGCAAAUUUUGGAACGAUUUCAGACCACCACAUGGGGGAGAAAUUCGACUACGUCUCAAACUCUCCUGUGACUGAGAUUUGGAAAUACCUCUAUUCAACAAAUUAAUGGGUAUUGUUCAACUAAUUUUCUCAAUCUCUCGCUUUCUUCCAUUGUUUGAGUUGGUGGAAACAUCACAAAUACUUUUAACAAUUUAAAAGUAAACUACCCACAGUUAUCAAUGAUUUUGUCUAUUUGGUUUUGGGAUUGUUCACUAAUUGAAUUUCACAUUCUGGGCCAUUUUAUAUAAUAGAAAAACUACAUCUUUUUUAACAUUGCCUCGCAAGUGUUUGAUUUAAUGGCUCAUUGUUUUAUUGGAAUCUGCUAGUCAAUCUUUUGAUUUCUCUCUACUACCAAGUGUGAAGAAUCUAAUUUUUGUAUACUUUGUAAACUUCGAUUGUCUAAGAGUACUAAUCCAAUUUUUACUAAUUUAUUUAGUUAUUGUUUUUACACCAUUCUUCGGCGACAUGGAAAAUAGGGAAAAUCUAGCAUCCAACAUUUGGCUACAUAUCCACUGGACCUAACCUAACAUCGUUCAGCCAAGAGAUGACUGAAAAAUGUACUGGUUCGCAUUGAUUAUGUAUUUCAUUGUUAUGAAUGGCUUAAUAAUGUUGCAUUUUUCGGAUGUAAGAUUUUUUACUAUUUUGUAAUGGCUGGGGAUUUUUUUUUUUUUUUCAUUUUAGCUAUGAUGACAGCAUAAUGUGAGGUUUGAAUAGCCAUUUAGAUUUAGGGGAUUUGUUAUGUAAUUUUCUCGUAUGUGAAGUUUGAAUUAUCGUUAGAUAAAUUAUGUUGUUGUACAUUAUUCGAAAUUAUAAUUGAUUUGUUUGUUGCAAGGAAAGAAAUUUUGGAAUAUGUGGAUGACAUUAUACUGAUGGAGUCCGAUAAUGAGAAUGUUGUGAAAAAUACAAACAUACUGGGUGAUGAUAUGUUAGUUAGAGAUAGUGUUAUUGUGCCUGAGGUGGGUAUGAAAUUUAAGGAUGAAAAUGAAAUGUUCGAUUUUUACAAAAGAUUUGCAUACGAAAUUGGUUUUCUAGUUAGAAAAAGAAAUUCAAGAAAGGAUGAUGAUGGAGUAUUGAGAAAUAUUAUAUUUGUUUGUAGUCGUGAAGGAAAAAGAAUCAGAAAUACAACCAGUUCUUUGAAGUCACAAGCAACCAUUCAAAGUGGAUGUAAAGCCGGGAUCACUAUGGAGAAUUUGCACGAUACACCUAGACCACAAUCAUAAGACAAGCACUUCGAAGUCUAGGCUAUAUCGAUGCAACCGAAAGUUGAGUGCACAUGUGAAACGGUGACUUGAAGUAAAUGACAUGGCCGAAAUUCCAUUACACAAGAGUUUCAACUCUGCUGUUGUUGAAGUAGGUGGAUAUGAAAAUAUGACUUGCAUCGAAAAGGAUUGUUAAAACUACAUCGAAAAAGUUAGGUGUUUAAGGCUUGGAAAAGGGGACAGAGCAGCAAUACAAUCAUACUUCACUAAAAUGCAAGCACAGUGCUCGGGCUUUUACUUUAGUAUUGAUUUGGAUGAUGAGUUGCGUCUAAAGAAUGUUUUCUGGGCAGAUAAUAGGAAUAGGCAAGUGUAUAAGAAGUUUGGUGAUAUUGUCACAUUCGACAUCACAUACCUCAUUAACAAUUACAAUAUACCAUUUGCCCUUUUUGUUGGAGUGAACCAUCAUGGACAGUCGACGCUUUUUGGAUGUGGUUUGCUAUCGAAUGAGGAUACGGAGACAUUUGUGUGGUGAUUUUGAACCUGGCCAUAAUGCAUGCAUGGACAAGCUCUACAUGGGAUAAUUAUAGAUCAGGAUAGGGCUAUGCAAAAUACAAUCCAAAUCGUUUUCCCCAAUACAAAGUAUAGAUGAUGUUUGUGGCAUAUAUUGAAGAAAUUGCUUGAGAAGUUUGGAUACCAUGUGGAUAAAGGUUCAAUAUUUACAACCAUUCACAGUUUGGUUUAUAAUUGUCAUUUUGUAAAAGAAUUCGAGAAUGGCUGGAGAGUGAUGAUCGAAACGUUUAACUUGUAUGAUAAUAAGUGGUUGGCAGGUUUGUAUGAGAAUAGAGAACUUUGGGCACCUUGCUAUUUGAAAGCCACAUUUUGGGCAAGGAUGUCAACAACUCAACGCAAUGAGAGUAUGAAUGCAUUCUUUGAUGAUUAUGUACAUUCGAAGACAACUUUGAAGCAAUUUGUUGAACAAUACGAACGAGCACUGAAAAUAAGGUUGAGAAGGAGUUUCAAGCAGACUUCAAGUCGUUCUCACAAAUGGUACCAUGUGCAACGAGAUAUGAAAUGGAGAAGAAAUUCCAAGAUGUUUACACAAUUUCAAAAAAUUCAAAAAAGUUCAGGAGGAGUUCACUGGUAAGGUUUAUUGCGACCUCAUAUCUAUUUCGGAGGGAUUAUCGGGCCGAUCUACGAAAUACGAGAGGACGUAAUACAUAACGAGCGUUCUAAGAAAAAAGCCUUUUUCGUCUCAUUUCAAAAACAACAAAUGUGAAAUCACUUGCAGUUGUCAUAAUUUUGAGUUUCAGGGGAUUAUUUGCAGAUAUAUGGUCGCGGUAUUGAUUCGUAACAAUGUUAAAUCAGUAUCGGAAUGAUAUAUACUACAAAAAUGGCAACGAGAUGUCAGUAGAGCCCACACGAGGGUAGUAGUGGACUAUGAUGGUUGGAUUAGUACUCCUGGACAAUUAAAGUACGACAAAAUGUGUGAAAGGUUUGCUACAUUAGCUAACACGACUGCAGAUGAUGAAGUCAAAUCUGAUGCCAUAAUUGAUUAGAUUGACAGUCAAUGUAAACAGAUGAUGACGUUGAGGUCGAGUUGUAGUAGUAAUGUCUCCCCGCAUAUUACUCAGAUAUCAUUUGACUAUGGAACAACAGAGGAUACUGGAAAUGGUAGCAUACGAGAUCCAGAAUGCGCGAAAAGAAAAGGUGCCCCUAAGAAACUUCGAAAGAAGAGCCUACUAGAAUCGAGUUUGAACAAAGUUAAGGCAACUUCAAGUUCAACCAAAGGGAAGAAACAAAAGGUUUACACAAGUAAUAUGGGAAAUGUUGCAACCAUCUUUCAGUCUCCUCAACCAUUACAAAUACUGCUACCUUUCUCAUAUACAAAACUCCUUAUGGUUAUCAUUCAUUUAUGAUUUCAUUUCAACGAAAAUAUACGAUUUGCUUAUAAUGUUAUUUCACGCAAGGUGGCAAUCAAAAUCUUCAAUUCACACAGCACUUGCAAUCCACAUAUAUCAACCCUCCAUCGUCAACAAGUCUUACAUUCAAUAUGAAAGGUUUGGGUAGAAGACAUAUGAAUGAUGCUACUAGCAAUGACACACGACAGUUGGGAAUGCAUUUUGAUGGAGGAAGUUCAUAUGCUCACUAAUUACUAGUCCCAAGCAAGCUGGUCUUUUUGUAAAACUAGAAUAGCAUAUUCUGCAAUGCAUUUCAAUGUCAAACUGGUCUUUUUGUAAAGUUGGAAUAGCAUAUUAUUGGAAUGCCCCGGUCCUGUUCAAAACCAUUGGUUUUGGAGCUAAUGCUUCCUUAUUUUCUUGAAGGUGGACUACAAAUGUUAUUUUUUUCCAGGUAUUGUACUUAAUUUAUUUAUCUAUUUCAGCUUUUAUUUACUUUAAUUAAUCAUUGUUUGCACGAUGCAGCUUAUUAGUACAGUUUGCAUUGGAAUUAAAUUUGGUCUAAAUGGAAAUCCUACUAAAUUGCAUAAUUGGUAUGCAACGUUGGUGGUUGUAGCUAUUUGCGUUUAUGUAGCUGGAUUUGCUUGGUCUUGGGGGCCUCUUAGUUGGUUGGUACCAACUGAAAUUUUGCCUUUUGAAGUCCGAUCGACUGGACAGAGCAUCAAUGUUUAAGUUAAUAUAGUCAAUGUUUUCUACAUACAAUAGAUUGUUUUAUGUUGAUCAUCUGUUAAUUUCAACAUUUUUAGAUGGGAAGCCUUAAUAGUCAAGCCCAUCACGAGAAAUUGUGCUUUAUUUUGUGUUUUAGUAAGUAAGUAGGUUCCAAGAUAUGAAGCAUUUACUUAU